GAUGAACGCUGGCGGUAUGCUUAACACAUGCAAGUCGAACGGACUCUUCGGAGUUAGUGGCGGACGGGUGAGUAACGCGUGAGAAUCUGGCUUUGGGUUCGGGACAACCACUGGAAACGGUGGCUAAUACCGGAUGUGCCGAGAGGUAAAAGAGAAAUUGCCUGAAGAUGAGCUCGCGUCUGAUUAGCUAGUUGGUGAGGUAAAGGCUGACCAAGGCAGCGAUCAGUAGCUGGUCUGAGAGGAUGACCAGCCACACUGGGACUGAGACACGGCCCAGACUCCUACGGGAGGCAGCAGAGGGGAAUUUUCCGCAAGGGGCGAAAGCCUGACGGAGCAAGACCGCGUGAGGGAAGAAGGCUCUGGGGUAGUAAACCUCUUUUCUUAGGGAAGAACAAAAUGGCGGUACCUAAGGAAGCAGCAUCGGCUAACUCCG
rnacentral:rRNA from 1 species